rnacentral:tRNA from 1 species
GGCGCCAUAGCCAAGAGGUAAGGCGGAGGUCUGCAAAACCUUUAUCGCCGGUUCAAAUCCGACUGGCGCCU